rnacentral:rRNA from 1 species
GGAUGAACGCUGGCGGCGUGCCUAAUACAUGCAAGUCGAGCGAACGGACGAGAAGCUUGCUUCUCUGAUGUUAGCGGCGGACGGGUGAGUAACACGUGGAUAACCUACCUAUAAGACUGGGAUAACUUCGGGAAACCGUAGCUAAUACCGGAUAAUAUUUUGAACCGCAUGGUUCAAAAGUGAAAGACGGUCUUGCUGUCACUUAUAGAUGGAUCCGCGCUGCAUUAGCUAGUUGGUAAGGUAACGGCUUACCAAGGCAACGAUGCAUAGCCGACCUGAGAGGGUGAUCGGCCACACUGGAACUGAGACACGGUCCAGACUCCUACGGGAGGCAGCAGUAGGGAAUCUUCCGCAAUGGGCGAAAGCCUGACGGAGCAACGCCGCGUGAGUGAUGAAGGUCUUCGGAUCGUAAAACUCUGUUAUUAGGGAAGAACAUAUGUGUAAGUAACUGUGCACAUCUUGACGGUACCUAAUCAGAAAGCCACGGCUAACUACG